UACGGUAAAACUUGCAUUAAUAUCUUCAGUAGCAAAUUCAUUUUCAGUACCAGGACAAAAGCAAAUGAGUUCUGUGGGACUCUAGUCUAAAGAAUAUCUAAUGCUUGGAGCAUUUCUAUGUAUUCUUCAACAGCUGGUUUCGUGGCUCUCACUUAUUGUGACUUUUAAGCCGUGAACAGAUACUGUGGUGGGGCUGAGACGCAAGACGGCUCAGCCAUUGUGCUGUGGCCAGGUGGAAUGAAUAAUACUGGCUUCAACGGCUACAAAUGGCAGCUCUCUUGGUUAUCUUCGUGAUUCAUUCUCAGUACCCGUUCAUUGAAGCUGCUGAACUCCAAUAAGUCACCAACAAAAUAUCAACAAUGGCAACUGUGGCUGCUUCAAACAUGGCAUCAGCGAGUUCACUUGUCAACUGUGGAGUCACUUCUGGAUCAGAGUUGAAAGCACCACUGAUGAAAUUUCGAUUGAUGAAGCAUACUGUGACUCACAAUGGGUUAAGAUCAUUGAACAGAGUGGAUGAGCUGCGAAUCAGAACCAUGGCAAAAGUAACCACCGGGCAAGCAAGGAGUAAAACAUUCAAGACUGGGAAUGAGAGGACUUCAGAAAUCGUUUGUAGUAGUGGGAUGAAUUUGAUCUUUGUAGGAACAGAAGUAGGUCCCUGGAGCAAAACUGGUGGACUUGGAGAUGUUCUUGGAGGUCUGCCACCAGCAAUGGCGGCCAAUGGACAUCGUGUCAUGACUGUGUCUCCACGUUAUGACCAGUACAAAGAUGCAUGGGACACAGAGGUGACAGUAGAGCUUCAAGUAGGAGAUGGGAAAGAAACGGUUCGUUUCUUUCAUUCCUACAAAAGAGGAGUUGAUCGCAUUUUCGUGGAUCACCCAGCGUUUCUUGAAAAGGUAUGGGGAAAAACCCGAUCCAAAAUUUAUGGGCCUAUGGCUGGAGAGGAUUACCUGGACAACCAACUUCGAUUCAGCUUAUUAUGCCAGGCAGCUCUAGAAGCACCGAGGGCUCUUAGUCUUAACAGCAGCAAAUAUUUCUCCGGACCAUAUGGUGAAGAUGUUGUGUUUAUUGCCAAUGACUGGCACACUGCCCUGCUCCCUUGCUACCUGAAAACUAUAUACAAACCCAAAGGCAUAUAUAAGAGUGCCAGAGUUGUCUUUUGCAUUCACAACAUUGCCUACCAAGGGAGAUUUGCCUACAAUGAUUUCUCACUUCUCAAUCUCCCAGAUGAAUUGAAAAGCUCAUUUGAUUUUUUUGAUGGAUACGAAAAACCCACAAAGGGAAGGAAAAUUAACUGGAUGAAAGCUGGAAUUUUAGAAUCAGACAGGGUUUUAACUGUUAGCCCAUACUAUGCCAAAGAACUUGUUUCUGGUGUAGAAAAAGGAGUGGAAUUGGAUAAAAUCCUUCGCAAAACUGGCAUAACAGGAAUUGUGAAUGGCAUGGAUGUCCAGGAAUGGAAUCCAUCAACUGACAAAUAUAUUGGAGUCAAAUAUGAUGCUUCAACUGUGUUGAAUGCAAAGCCACUGUUGAAGGAAGCCCUCCAAGCAGAAGUUGGAUUGCCAGUGGAUAGAAACAUCCCUGUCAUAGGCUUCAUUGGAAGACUUGAAGAGCAGAAAGGUUCAGAUAUUCUUGUGGCAGCAAUUCCUCAGUUCAUCAAAGAGAAUGUUCAAAUUAUAGUCCUUGGAACAGGCAAAAAACCGAUGGAGAAGCAGCUUGAACAGCUGGAGAUACUAUACCCAGAAAAGGCCCGAGGAGUGGCGAAAUUCAAUGUUCCCCUGGCCCAUAUGAUAAUAGCCGGUGCUGAUUUUAUGAUGAUUCCUAGCAGAUUUGAGCCAUGUGGUCUCAUUCAAUUGCACGCCAUGCGUUACGGAACCUUAUCUAUUGUCGCAUCAACUGGUGGAUUGGUUGAUACUGUUAAAGAAGGUUUCACAGGAUUUCAGAUGGGAAGCUUCAAUGUGGAAUGUGAGGUAGUGGAUCCUGCUGAUGUGACUGCAGUGGCUACAACUGUGAAAAGAGCCCUCGCAAUCUAUGGAACUACAGCUUUCGCAGAGAUGAUAAAGAAUUGCAUGGCUCAAGAACUCUCUUGGAAGGGACCUGCAAAGAAGUGGGAGGAGAUGCUGCUGAGUUUGGGGGUGGCUGGAAGUGAACCAGGAGUCGGAGGGGAGGAAAUAGCUCCACUUGCCAAGGAAAACGUUGCAUCUCCUUGAGAGCAAUCGAAUUUCCCAACAUUGUCUCUGCUAGUAAAACCCCACUACACAGCAAUGUGUCAGGACCAAGAGAAUGAGUGGAGCCUAGCAGAUUAGAGGAGGUUGAUUAGGAGGCGCUGAUGUGACGCAGAGCUUAUGGCUUCCUUAGAUUUUUUGACAAAAUUAGGCAUCAUUGGUCGAGUUACACGAGUUACUCAGCGAAUUAGCCCAGUAAUUGUAUUUUGGUAAUGUAAUUAUGGAGCUCGUUCUCCCAUGCUUUAGAGAUUACAGUCUUCUGAGACCUGUACUAUAGUUAUAGAUAUUUUUUUAGUAUGUAUGGAUCAUGUUUGAAGUAUUUGUGAUAUCUUUAGUUUGGU